AUGUGGUAUUCAGCGUUAGUAAACGCUGAACUUACAAACUCUAUUGUUCAAAUUAUAUAUGCCGGCCGUGGUCGCUUAUUUGGCGGCCUGCUUGGGUUUGAAGUCGUCCUGCUCCUUUCCAUAGGCGGAGACGGGGAAGGACCUUCCCAGUCCGGUGGGCGUCUUGAAACUGAUCUUCGAGUGGUCGUUCUUGUCGAUGUACAUGUCGCAGACGGUGACCCAGAUGAGGAGCUCCUUGCUCUUGACCCCCGUGAUCCGCUUCAUCCUGCGGUCCUCGACGAAGGCCGUCACCUCGGUGGCGUACGAGACCAGCCUCCCGAUCUGCUUGAAGGUGUGCGUGAGCGCCUUCUUCUGGCGCAGCCACACGAAGCCCGUGGAGCGGUUGGAGCCGACCUCCUCGAUGUCCGCCAGCGGCAGCAGGCCCAGCGGCAUGUUGGUCUCGGCCAGCAGCUCCGUCGCCUUCUCUGCGCACAACGCCGCACCAUGGUACACCUCCGCGCCCUCCUUGUUCACCUCGAUCGCCUGCGAUGCCAUCUCGAUGGAUUAAAUUUAAUCUCUCGAAGCAAACUCUGGCUCAACUCGACGCUCGGGAGAUGCAGGGGGGCUUAUUGGUCUUGGGGGCCUGUUGAUUGA
rnacentral:rRNA from 1 species